UUAGCAGCAUGGGCUCCCAACCACUCAACCAUCUCUUUCCAUCCCCUUCCAUGGGCUUUUUGAUGAACAAACAUAUUCUCUUAUUUUUCUUCCAGGCAAACGAGAAGAAAGAAUGUGCCAGAAAGUGAUCAUUAAAUCAAUGAUAAAGAAACAGGACUGUGUAAGCCAGACCUCUAUCAGCGUUGCAUCUUGCGAUGGGAAAUGCCCAUCAGCUACCAUAUACAAUAUCAAUGUUGAAAGCCACCUGAGGUUCUGCAAGUGCUGUCGCGAAAAUGGAGUACGAAACCUAACUGUGCCUCUGCAUUGCUCAGGAAAUGGCACAGAAGUUAUGUACACACUCCAGGAACCUAUAGACUGCACAUGCCAGUGGAAUUAAGCCCAUGCAUUUGAAGAACUCUAUACAACAGUGUCAUGUCAGGCAGCAUCAGCUCAUUGCUAUUAUUUAGGAGCAUGACAGCCUUAUACUGUCUAAGAAUAAUGUGUCUUAACACUAUUGGAAUUUGAUAACCUAAUAGUCAGUACAAACUGUGUAUAGUUUCAGUGGAAAGUUUUGAUUUGUAGUUUUAUUUCUGAGGAUAAAAUCAUUUUAAGUUGUUAGCUGAAAUGCUGUUAUAUUUAUAAUUGCAGUGUGGGGUAAAUUUAAAUAUUUCUAUAAAGUAGAAGGCUGUGUUGCAGAAUUCCUUCCAUUUCAGUUCCUGGUUUUCUUUUUUUGUUUCCAUUUGCAGUUUGCCAUGGCUAGUUAAAUUGAGGUAAACUUUAAUUUCUAUUGCAUACUCUGGCCAAUGAGAUUUGUUAUAAUCAGCUGAUAGAUAACUAUAGAGUUGUGUGCUUAGAAACAGAACAUAGAACCAUAGGUUGUUAACAUUAGUUAAUACAACUGUUAGGAAUGUCACCACAAACUCCUCUCAGUUUUCAGAUGUGACAUUAGCAUAAUACAUUUGUGACUUCUACAAACAUAUAUAGAAACAAUGUGAUGAACUUAUGUUAAAAACUAGACUAUUUUCUAGGUCUUUUUGAUUCUGAAUUCAUGCUCUUUUAUUGUAAAUGAUACAGCAAGAUGACAAGAAAAGUCACAUAAUAUUCUGUUAUUAAAUAGUACUGGAUUGGAUUAAAAAGCUUAAGUCCAAUAUUCAUUUAGAAUAUCACACAUGCAAUAAUAGUUAUUCAGUAAUAAGGAACAGGAGAACAUAGUAUCAGUCACUACAUAGAAGAAGACCUGGAGCUAUAUUUUUAUACCAUUGAAUUUAUUAAUUAUAUUGUUACUAUUUUACAUUUACUUCCUUUAUUUAUCACUGGGGACUGUUUCUAAAUUUAUCUGUACACUAUGAAACCUGAGAGCUAUUUUUGCCAAGAAGGCUGCUGCUUUCUCAGUGUAGAGUGAUAUAAAAUUAUCACUUUCUUUUAAAUUCCAUUCUGUUAUUAAAUAUUAACUAAUCUUUAAACCUAUUUGUUAGGAGAAGAUAAACAUUCUUCUGGUAUUUUAUUUGGGAGCCCAUCCCACAUGGAGGGAUACCCCUUGAGCCUAGACACAAGGGGGUUGGCUUAGGCCCUAUCCCAAAGAAUAAGACAUAUUUUGAAGACCCCUAUGGAAGGCCUCACUCUUCCUUGGGAGCAGAAAGGGUAUGGGAUAGGUAGGGUGUUAGUUGGGGGGGGGGCAGGGGGGGGGGGGGGGGGAAGGGACCUGGGAUUGACAUGUAAAAUAAUUUUCUUUCUAAUUAAAAAUAAACGAAAAAACAACAAAUAAAAUAAUUACAUGUUGUUUUUCUAUGAUAUGUAUAUAUAUAUAUAUAUAUAUAUGAAGAAAUCUAGCAGGAGACCUGAAAAUUUAUAGGAAUUUGGG
ensembl:lincRNA